CUUGGUCAUUUAGAGGAAGUAAAAGUCGUAACAAGGUUUCCGUAGGUGAACCUGCGGAAGGAUCAUUAGUGAAUUUGUAGCCUCCAAGGCUCACAUUCUCUAUCCUUUACACACCUGUGCACCCUUCUGAAGCGGAGAGUUAUUAGGCAUUAGCCGAGCGCCUCCCUUCGGUUAUUAUAUCAAACUCAAACUACGUUUACUAGAAUGUAUACCGUCUUGUUGUAACGACAAGUACAAUCCAAUAAAACUUUCAGCAACGGAUCUCUUGGCUCAGGCAUCGAUGAAGAACGCAGCGAAAUGCGAUAAGUAAUGUGAAUUGCAGAAUCCAGUGAAUCAUCGAAUCUUUGAACGCAACUUGCGCCCUCUGGUAUUCCGGAGGGCAUGCCUGUUUGAGUGUCGUGAACACCUCAACCCUCUAAUGUUUUUGCAUUGAAGGCGUUGGUAGUGAGCGCUGCCGGUCUUUGGGUCGGCUCGCUUUAAAAUAAUUAGCUGGAUCCAUUCUGACCUGGUUCUACUCGGCGUAAUAAGUUAUUAUCGUCGAGGACGCCUAGCCUUCUAGGCAGGCGGCCACAGUAAGGGUGUUUGAACCGCUUCCAACACGUCUUGCUCUUGUAGCAAACGACUUGAACCUCUGACCUCAAAUCAGGCAGGACUACCCGCUUUACUUAAGCAUAUCAAUAAGCGGAGGA
rnacentral:rRNA from 1 species